rnacentral:rRNA from 1 species
GUGUCAGCAGCCGCGGUAAUACGGGGGGUGCGAGCGUUGUCCGGAAUCACUGGGCGUAAAGGGCGCGCAGGUGGUUUUGUAAGUUUGUGGUGAAAGCCCGGGGCUUAACCCCGGGUCUGCCAUGGAAACUGCGAGACUAGAGUGCUGUAGGGGCUGGUAGAAUGUCGGGUGUAGCGGUGGAAUGCGUAGAGAUCCGACGGAAGACCGGUGGCGAAGGCGGCCAGCUGGGCAGCAACUGACACUGAGGCGCGACAGCGUGGGGAGCAAACAGGAUUAGAUACCCUGGUAGUCCACGCCGUAAACGAUGGGUACUAGAUGCUUCGGGGAGCGACCCCUGGAGUGUCGGCGCUAACGCAGGAAGUACCCCGCCUGGGGAGUACGGCCGCAAGGCUGAA